GUUCCGUGAAGAUGCAGGAUGAUUGUUGGGUAGCUGUUAAUUUGAGAAAGAAGACAAUAGAGGAAGGUUCGUGCUUCUUUUCUUCCAAUGAAGCCAAAGCAAGGAAGAGUCUUAUUCAUAAACCGUCCUGCGAAAAAUCCUGCCUGAAGGGUCAUUUGGUGGCAUGAGAAAAUGAGCAUGGGAGGGGAUUGCACAGAAAUGAUGAAAAGCACGGAUACCCUUUAUGAUUGGCCGACAAUAUCACCGAUGAGUCCCACUUUUUAUUUUUUAUUUAUUUUUGAAUAUUAAGAGAAUGAAAUUCGAACUUGAAUCUAUUGUCAGGUUAUAUAUGCAGUUACUACCAGAA